GUGUCAGCCGCCGCGGUAAUACGUAGGAGGCGAACGUUAUUCGGAUUUACUGGGCGUAAAGCGGGUGUAGGCGGUUCUUUAAGUCAGGUGUGAAAUUUUCUGACUUAAUCAGAAAGGGUCAUCUGAUACUAGAGAACUUGAGGGCGGCAGAAGGAAAUGGAAUUCUCGGUGUAGCGGUGAAAUGCGUAGAUAUCGAGAAGAACACCAGUGGCGAAGGCGAUUUCCUAGGCUGUUCCUGACGCUGAGACCCGAAAGCGUGGGGAGCGAUGCGGAUUAGAUACCCGCGUAGUCCACGCCCUAAACGGUGGACACUAGAUAUGGAAGGUAUCGACCCCUCUCGUGUCGAAGCUAACGCUUUAAGUGUCCCGCCUGGGGAGUACGGCCGCAAGGCUAAAACUUAAAUGAAUUGACGGGG
rnacentral:rRNA from 1 species